GAUGAACGCUGGCGGCGUGCCUAAUACAUGCAAGUCGAGCGAACAGACGAGGAGCUUGCUCCUCUAACGUUAGCGGCGGACGGGUGAGUAACACGUGGAUAACCUACCUAUAAGACUGGGAUAACUUCGGGAAACCGGAGCUAAUACCGGAUAAUAUAUUGAACCGCAUGGUUCAAUAGUGAAAGACGGUUUUGCUGUCACUUAUAGAUGGAUCCGCGCCGCAUUAGCUAGUUGGUAAGGUAACAGCUUACCAAGGCAACGAUGCGUAGCCGACCUGAGAGGGUGAUCGGCCACACUGGAACUGAGACACGGUCCAGACUCCUACGGGAGGCAGCAGUAGGGAAUCUUCCGCAAUGGGCGAAAGCCUGACGGAGCAACGCCGCGUGAGUGAUGAAGGUCUUCGGAUCGUAAAACUCUGUUAUUAGGGAAGAACAAAUGUGUAAAUAACUAUGCACGUCUUGACGGUACCUAAUCAGAAAGCCACGGCUAACUACGUG
rnacentral:rRNA from 1 species